rnacentral:rRNA from 1 species
GAAGGGUGCAAGCGUUAGUCGGAAUUACUGGGCGUAAAGCGUGCGUAGGUGGUUUCUUAAGUCCGUUGUGAAAGCCCUGGGCUCAACCUGGGAACUGCAGUGGAUACUGAGAGGCUAGAGUGUGUCAGAGGAUGGUGGAAUUCCCGGUGUAGCGGUGAAAUGCGUAGAGAUCGGGAGGAACAUCAGUGGCGAAGGCGGCCAUCUGGGACAACACUGACGCUGAGGCACGAAAGCGUGGGGAGCAAACAGGAUUAGAUACCCUGGUAGUCCACGCCCUAAACGAUGCGAACUGGAUGUUGGGCUCAACUCGGAGCUCAGUGUCGAAGCUAACGCGUUAAGUUCGCCGCCUGGGGAGUACGCUCGCAAGAGUGAA